rnacentral:rRNA from 1 species
GACGAACCGUGCGAACGUUGUUCGGAUUCACUGGGCUUAAAGGGCGCGUAGGCGGCCAACUAAGUCAGACGUGAAAUCCCACGGCUUAACCGUGGAACUGCUGGGUAUACUGGGUGUCUUGAGCCACUCAGGGGCUACCGGAACAAACGGUGGAGCGGUGAAAUGCGUAGAUAUCGUUUGGAACGCCAAUGGUGAAAACAGGUAGCUGGGGGUGUGCUGACACUGAGACACGAAAGCCAGGGGAGCAAACGGG